GACGAACGCUGGCGGCGUGCUUAACACAUGCAAGUCGAACGGAGAAUUUAUUUCGGUAAAUUCUUAGUGGCGAACGGGUGAGUAACGCGUGGGCAACCUGCCCUUCAGAUGGGGACAACAUCCCGAAAGGGGUGCUAAUACCGAAUACGAUCACGCUGCCGCAUGGCGGAGUGAUGAAAGAUGGCCUCUAUAUAUAAGCUAUCGCUGAAGGAUGGGCCUGCGUCUGAUUAGCUAGUUGGUGGGGUAACGGCCUACCAAGGCGAUGAUCAGUAGCCGGUCUGGGAGGAUGAACGGCCACAUUGUGGCAGGAACGCAGCCCAAACUCCUACGGGCGGCAGCAGUGGGGAAUAUUCCGCAAUGGACGAAAGUCUGACGGAGCAACGCCGCGUGAGUGAUGAAGGUUUUCGGACUGUAAAACUCUGUUGUUUAGGACGAAAGUGCCUGUUGCAAAUAGUUGCAGGUAUUGACGGUACUGAACGAGGGAGCCACGGCUAACUACGUGCCAGCCGCCGCGGUAA
rnacentral:rRNA from 1 species